UCUAAAUUCAACAGGACAACGAAAUGAGAAUGUUUAAAAUGGAAACAGUUAUUGGACCAAUUCCAAAGGAGACAUUCUUGCCACAGACCAAGGAACAUCUCGACAGAGAAUGUCAGCACCCCAGAUGGGUACAGUCCGGAAGGGCCUAGGUGACCCUGCAGCCAGCUCCUCAGCUUACCAGGGAGGCCAUUGAGGCCAGC
rnacentral:lncRNA from 1 species